GUCCUCAAUGGCUCAGUUGGAUAGAGCGUCUGCCCUAUAAGCAGGAGAUCCCGGGUUCGGGUCUCGGUGAGGGCA